rnacentral:rRNA from 1 species
UACGGGGGGGGCAAGCGUUGUUCGGAAUUACUGGGCGUAAAGGGCUCGUAGGCGGCCGACUAAGUCAGACGUGAAAUCCCUCGGCUUAACCGGGGAACUGCGUCUGAUACUGGAUGGCUUGAGGUUGGGAGAGGGAUGCGGAAUUCCAGGUGUAGCGGUGAAAUGCGUAGAUAUCUGGAGGAACACCGGUGGCGAAGGCGGCAUCCUGGACCAAAUCUGACGCUGAGGAGCGAAAGCCAGGGGAGCAAACGGG